CACGUAGGGCGCAAGCGUUGUCCGGAAUUAUUGGGCGUAAAGAGCUUGUAGGCGGUCUGUCGCGUCUGCUGUGAAAAUCCGGGGCUCAACCCCGGACUUGCAGUGGGUACGGGCAGACUAGAGUGUGGUAGGGAGACUGGAAUUCCUGGUGUAGCGGUGAAAUGCGCAGAUAUCAGGAGGAACACCGAUGGCGAAGGCAGGUCUCUGGGCCACUACUGACGCUGAGAAGCGAAAGCAUGGGGAGCGAACAGG
rnacentral:rRNA from 1 species